rnacentral:rRNA from 1 species
AACGAACGCUGGCGGCAGGCCUAACACAUGCAAGUCGAGCGAAGCCUUCGGGCUUAGCGGCGGACGGGUGAGUAACGCGUGGGAACGUGCCCUUUGGUACGGAAUAGCCCCGGGAAACUGGGAGUAAUACCGUAUGUGGUCGAGAGACGAAAGAUUUAUCGCCAAAGGAUCGGCCCGCGUUGGAUUAGGUAGUUGGUGGGGUAAUGGCCUACCAAGCCGACGAUCCAUAGCUGGUUUGAGAGGAUGGUCAGCCACACUGGGACUGAGACACGGCCCAGACUCCUACGGGAGGCAGCAGUGGGGAAUCUUAGACAAUGGGGGAAACCCUGAUCUAGCCAUGCCGCGUGAUCGAUGAAGGCCUUAGGGUUGUAAAGAUCUUUCAGUGGGGAGGAUAAUGACUGUACCCACAGAAGAAGCCCCGGCUAACUCCGUGCCAGCAGCCGCAGUAAGAC